ensembl:ncRNA C33D12.9 ncRNA
UAGACCGGACGUCUUCACUUUUCACAUCUUAAUUUUUGAGUGUCCCGUUAUUGUAAUAAUGAUGUUUUUAUGUCGCAACUAGAUAUAUUAUAUGUAUUAACCACCACUUGACUAUAUUCGGAUUAAUUCAACGCUGCCGAACCUUG